rnacentral:rRNA from 1 species
GACGAGGGAUCCUAGCGUUGUUCGGAAUCAUUGGGCGUAAAGAGUAUGUAGGCGGCCUUGUAAGUCAGUUGUGAAAUCCCCAGGCUUAACCUGGGAACUGCAUCCGAUACUGGAUGGCUUGAAUUCGGGAGAGGGAUGCAGAAUUCCAGGUGUAGCGGUGAAAUGCGUAGAUAUCUGGAGGAAUACCGGUGGCGAAGGCGGCAUCCUGGACCGACAUUGACGCUGAGGUGCGAAAGCGUGGGGAGCAAACAGG